rnacentral:rRNA from 1 species
GGAAUAUUGGUCAAUGGUCGAAGGACUGAACCAGCCAAGUAGCGUGCAGGAUGACGGCCCUAUGGGUUGUAAACUGCUUUUGUGCGGGAAUAACGGUCGACACGUGUGUUGAUGUGCAUGUACCGUACGAAUAAGGAUCGGCUAACUCCGUGCCAGCAGCCGCGGUAAUACGGAAGGUCCGGGCGUUAUCCGGAUUUAUUGGGUUUAAAGGGAGCGCAGGCCGAUGGUUAAGCGUGACGUGAAAUGUAGCCGCUCAACGGCUGAACUGCGUCGCGAACUGUCAGUCUUGAGUGAGUUCGAUGUUGGCGGAAUUCGUGGUGUAGCGGUGAAAUGCUUAGAUAUCACGAAGAACUCCGAUUGCGAAGGCAGCCAACAAGGCCUUUACUGACGCUAAAGCUCGAAAGUGCGGGUAUCGAACA